rnacentral:lncRNA from 1 species
GAAUUUGAUGUCAUCACCCUGCAAACGAUGAAAUAAAUCCCCAUUUUAUUGAUGACUGAUAACUUCAAAUGUGACAAGAGGAUUCAUUCACUUAUUCAAUCAUUCCGCAAAUAUUCACUGAGCAUCUCCUAUGUGCCAGGCACCAGGCUGGACAUUAGGAUCAAUCAUAAUAAUUUUUAGGUUAUGGAUAAUGCCAGUGGGCACUUAGACGGGAUGAUCAGGGAGGGCAGUUCUGAGAAGGGGCAUAUGAGCUGUGUUCCAGUUGUCUAUUGCUAUGUGACAAACUGCCCCAAAACUUAAUGGCUUAAAACAAUGACAGAAAUUACAUUACUCAUGAAUCUGCAGUUUAGGCAGGUGGGGACAGCAUGUCUCUGCUCCACCUAACAUCAGCUGAAGGUGGGAACUGGAAUCAUCUGGAGGCUUCCUCACUUACAUGUCUAGUGGUUGAUGCUGACUGAUGUUGGCUGUUGGCAAGGACCUCUGACAAGUCUGUUCCCUGAAACACCUGCAUGUGGUACAUGGCUUUGUCACAGCAUGAUGGCUGGGUUCCAAGGGUGAGCCUCACAAGACAGAGAACCAGGUGGAGGCUGUGCCAUCUUUGGUUACCUAGUCUAAGAAGUUACACAGUCACUUCUAUACCAUUUAAUUCAUUCGUAGCAAGCCACUGAGGCUAGUCCAUGUUCAAGAGGAGGGGAAUUGGAUUCCCCCUUUUUGUAGGAUAGAAAAGAGUUUGUGGACGUGUUUUCAAAUGACCACAAACUAUGACCUAAAGAAAUUAGCGGAAGAGCAUUCCAGGAAGAAUUGUAAAGUCUCUGAUGCUGGAAAGGCUUGGUGUGUUUAAGGAAAUGAAAGGCCAGAAAGGCUUGAGCACAGCAAGGGCAGAAGGUAAGAUUUGAGAUUAGAGGUGGAUAGAAGCCAUAUUAGGCAGUUAUAGGUGCUUGGAUUUUAUUCUGGAUGCAGUGAGGGCUGUUGAAAAAUUUAAGGUUUGUAUUCACUUCUUGAAAGGAUCACUCCAGCUAAUGUGCAGAGAAUGGAUUGAGGUGAGAUAAGAGUAGGGAAAACCAGUUAGGAUGCUAUUGGAGUGGUUCGGGGAGAGACAGUGAUGUCUUGGACAAGAAUGUUGGCACUGGAGAUGAAGAGAAGUAGAUAGAAAUGGUGGAAGUAAAUGAACAAAUCUACCAAGAGACUGAAUGUGAGAGAAGGAAAGGAAGGCAGGAAACAAGAAGAAUUCUUGGGUUUUAGGCUCGUGUCCAUCUUGAUGGUAGAGCCCUUUCUGUGAUUGGAAGACUAAGAGAGGAAUUUGUUGAUACGGGCAAAAGAUAAAAUCCAGAGUCCUGUUCUAGGCACGUCAAACUUGAGAGAUUUGUAAGAUAUACUGAAGGCAAGAAGUAGACAUUUGGAUAUACACGAGCCUGAAACUCAGUGGAGAGCUUGGGACUGGAAACAUAAAUUUGGGAAUUAUCAGCAUAUUGAUGGUAUUUAAAGCCGUAGGCAUCGGUGAGGUCAGCAGGGGAAAAUCUAGAAAGAACAAAAGAGUGUGGAGACUGAGCCCUGUAAAGGGUAGCCUGCAAAGGAGAUUGAAAAGGAGUGGCCAAAAAAGACAGCAGGGAAACUAGGGCAUUGGAUGUUAUAGAUACCUGAGAAAGCAUUGGUCUGAAUGACUGUUAAGGCUCCUCCAGAUAUGAAUUUCUAUAACUUUAUGGAUGUUUCAAAUCCCUUCAAGCUGGGAAAUUCUGUCUCUGUUGCAUCUUUGGGAUAACAAACUUCCUGAAGAAUCACUGGGUCUUUUCAAAGACUGAAAAUGGAUUCCCAGCAAUGUGAAAUCUUGUGCCUGAGUCCUAAAGUGAUCAAAGGUAAGGUUGAGCCUAGGACAAAAUGAGGACCCCCUGGAGGGAAGCUAGGGCAACACAGUAAGUGGCAAAAGAAUACAAGUGAGAUUAUUUGACUAUCCUCUUCCAGUAGGGCUGGCUCAGCUAUGGCAGACCCCAGGGUUGUUAGGACAAAUGGCAGCCCCAUACAGGGACAUACAUGGACCCUGAUCCUUGUUUUUUUUCCUUUUUGAGGCCUUUCUGAAUCUCCACUCCAUAUGCAGGGUUGACCUGUUUCCUUGAGGAACUCUAAGAUUUGCAUCAGUGGAGUUAUCUCAGGGCUCUGUGGCUUGGGCUCUGUCCAGGAGGGCAGCCUGGCAAUUGGAUUGUUCCUGCUGGCUGGUGCCAUUGUGUGAUAUUGAGUCACCAGAAUGGUGCUGACACACUGUUUUUGGGUGAUCCUCACAUCAGGCACAGGAUUAAUUCGGGGCAUUGGGCUACUGAUGGUCAACUGUUAGCACCUGGGCUUGGGCUGUGUGUGGGAACCCAUGCCUCAGCUCUCACCUGUUCAUGUUCCUCCAUGGUACCAUCUCUGAUUUGUGGCGUUCAAAGGCGUAGGAUGGCAGCAAGCCUCCUUCACCCUGUAUAUCCAUCCCCUUGCUGUUGGCACCUAAGAUUGUCACCGCAUGCCCUCAUCAGUCUCUGUACCACACAUCAGGAAGUCCUCCAGUGGUGGCUGUGCCUGCCUUCUCUGAAGGCACUCUAAAGACCUUGGCUUUGCCACACCAACAGGCUCUUCCAACCAGUGCCUUGCCUCCAAAUGAUAUGCGAUGUUUUGCUUUCCCAGGUCGAUCUUAAGCCAUUCUCAACAAGGAAUGGAUGUCCUUGUGUGAAAAAUACUGUUUUUCUUGCUCCAGUCAUGUCUCCUUGCAUUUCCUCUCUUUUGGUGGUGGUGUGCAGAAGCAGAGGUGCAGGAAAUGUUGAAAGGGAUCACAUUCUAAGAAUGUAGUUAUAAUGGCCUGAAGAAUUCAAGAGAAUACAUGGUUGGAAGAUGUGUCACUUUAUGGUAACACUAUAAAACUCCAAAUGAAAAAUAAAUUAUCAUUCAUACUUUCCUGAAUAUUCUGGGUAAGGCUCGCAUUUUGGUCAUUAUUAAUGAAGUACAGAAACAACCUCUGAGAGAGUGGUUGGAUGCCAGUAUUUGCAGGUGCCAUGAUGAAUGAUGCAGCACCAUCAGUAAAGAUGCAACCAACAUUAGACAAACGGUGUCAGAGAACCACAGAGGCAAAAAAUCAAAACCAAAACCCAAAACUAUAUUGUUUCAAUACAAACAGGUUCCAAAAGCCAUGACAUUGUGAGUGACAACAAUGUUGCUGCCUCUUUCUCACAAUAGGAAAUAAAACAUUAACCAGAACAGCGUGGGCAGAUAUUUCCCGGAUCUGAACAGGAAUAGCUGGUGUCUGGACUCUAUGAAGAAUCUUCACGUACAGUGAUAGAACAGUAAACACAUUUGCAGGCUUUUGUAGUGCACAGUGGCCAGUGACCAGCAGCAUGUGUUUCCACAGGCAUCUUCUCUCAGGACCCCAGAAGGUGAAUUGCCAGUGAGUCCUGCCAGGGGGCCCCUCAGUGACUGCACCACCCAGUAAGUCAUGGCUGUGUACUUCCCAUCAAGGUCUGGAUCUCAGCUCAGGUAGUGGGGGCUGCUCUUCCAUAGUCAUUCCAUCCUUGUGUGCUCUGCCUCAGCCCUGGGGAUAGUGGCCGCUUUCUGUACAUGUCAGUCCUCUAUUCUUUAGACUUCUUGUUACCCCAUUAGCAGCCAAUUCUCUUUUGUUACUGCUUAGCAGCCAAUUUUUUUUUAUAUUAAACUUUCCCCAACC